UACGUAGGGUGCGAGCGUUGUCCGGAUUUAUUGGGCGUAAAGAGCUCGUAGGCGGUUUGUCGCGUCGGCCGUGAAAUCUCCACGCUUAACGUGGAGCGUGCGGUCGAUACGGGCAGACUUGAGUUCGGUAGGGGAGACUGGAAUUCCUGGUGUAGCGGUGAAAUGCGCAGAUAUCAGGAGGAACACCGGUGGCGAAGGCGGGUCUCUGGACAGUUCC
rnacentral:rRNA from 1 species